rnacentral:misc_RNA from 1 species
AAUUCGUAGAUGAAGAAGGAGAAAAAUUUCAUCCACCUCCUGGUAAGCAGAGAGAAUUAGGCUUCACCUUCUCGUUCCCAAUAAUGCAGACUUCAAUCAAUUCUGGAACUCUUAUCAGGUGGACGAAAGGUUUCUCCAUUGAUGACACGGUUGGCAAAGAUGUUGUUGCAGAACUGACAAAAGCAAUGCAAAAACGAGAAAUUGAUAUGAGGGUGUCAGCGCUUGUGAAUGAUACUGUUGGAACAUUGGCUGGUGGUAGAUUCACGGAUAAGGAUGUAUCCAUUGCUGUGAUAUUAGGUACUGGGACAAAUGCAGCAUAUGUGGAACGGGCUCAGGCAAUUCCCAAAUGGCACGGUCCUCUGCCUAACUCUGGAGAAAUGGUGAUCAAUAUGGAAUGGGGUAACUUUAGGUCCUCCCAUCUUCCCUUGACACAGUAUGAUAAUGCUAUGGAUACCGAUAGUUUAAAUCCCGGUGAACAGAUAUUUGAGAAGAUA